GACGAACGCUGGCGGCGUGCUUAACACAUGCAAGUCGAACGGAAAGGCCCUGCUUUUGUGGGGUGCUCGAGUGGCGAACGGGUGAGUAACACGUGAGUAACCUGCCCUUGACUUUGGGAUAACUUCAGGAAACUGGGGCUAAUACCGGAUAGGAGCUCCUGCUGCAUGGUGGGGGUUGGAAAGUUUCGGCGGUUGGGGAUGGACUCGCGGCUUAUCAGCUUGUUGGUGGGGUAGUGGCUUACCAAGGCUUUGACGGGUAGCCGGCCUGAGAGGGUGACCGGCCACAUUGGGACUGAGAUACGGCCCAGACUCCUACGGGAGGCAACAGUGGGGAAUAGUGCACAAUGAGCGGAAGCCUGAUGCAGCAACGCCGCGUGCGGGAUGACGGCCUUCGGGUUGUAAACCGCUUUCGCCUGUGACGAAGCGUGAGUGACGGGAAUGGGUAAAGAAGCACCGGCUAACUACGU
rnacentral:rRNA from 1 species